rnacentral:rRNA from 1 species
GUAGCAUAAUCAUUAGUUUUUUAAUUGGAAACUGGUAUGAAUGGUCGGACAAAGGAACAGCUGUCUUAGAUUAAUAAUAAUUGAAUUUUACUUUUAAGUGAAAAGGCUUAAAUGUUUCAAAGGGACGAUAAGACCCUAUAAAGCUUUAUAUGUAGUUUAAGUGGAGCUAAUUUAGUGAAAUAAAGAUUAAAUUUAACUUGCAUAUUUUGUUGGGGCGACAUGGAUAUAAAUAUAAUAACUGUUUAGAUUAAAAACAAUAAUAAGUGGUUUAUAAAUAAAUGAUCCUUUUUUAAAGAUUAGAAGAUUAAGUUACUUUAGGGAUAACAGCGUUAUUUCUUUUGAGAGUUCAUAUCGAAAAAGAAGCUUGCGACCUCGAUGUUGAAUUAAAAUUUCUAUAUAGUGCAGCCGCUAUAAUAGAGAGUCUGUUCGACUUUUAAAUUUUU